rnacentral:rRNA from 1 species
GGAGCAUGUGGCUUAAUUUGACUCAACGCGGGAAAUCUUACCGGGUCCGGACACACUGAGGAUUGACAGGUAACGUUAUACACACAUAUAUUUACUCUCGGGUAUUUUUACUGCUGUGUAUAUAUAAAAUAUGCUAGUCCUUUCAUGAUUAUGUGAUAGGUGGUGCAUGGCCGUUCUUAGUUCGUGGAGUGAUCUGUCUGCUUAAUUGCGUUUCACUAAGGAUCUAUAUUCAUAUUACGCAUAGCAUUUUGACCCCUUUAUGCUUCGGUAUAAAGCUGCGCGUCAAACCUUGCUAUCUGCGUAUAUUAGAUCCUGAAAGCAACGAACGUGACCGCAACCUCUUGUUGCCUUUAACUAGGUUUUGCUUACGUAUAGCUUCGGCUUUACGCUUUGCAUCUAAAAAGGCUGAUUUUCUAAACUAGAGGGACCGCUGUUACUUUCUUAAACCAGAGGAAGGUUGCGGCAAUAACAGGG